rnacentral:rRNA from 1 species
CCGUAUGGGUCAUCUGUUACUGAAUACAUAGGUAACAGAGGCGAACGCAGUGAACUGAAACAUCUAAGUAGCUGCAGGAAAAGAAAUCAACCGAGAUUCCCAAAGUAGUGGCGAGCGAAAUGGGAUCAGCCUUGUACUCUUUAGCAGUAUUGUUAGCGGAACGGAAUGGAAAGUCCGGCCAUAGCGGGUGAUAGCCCCGUACGCGAAAACAGUAUUGUGGAACUAGGUGUACGACAAGUAGGGCGGGACACGUGAAAUCCUGUCUGAAGAUGGGGGGACCAUCCUCCAAGGCUAAAUACUCGUGAUCGACCGAUAGUGAACCAGUACCGUGAGGGAAAGGCGAAAAGAACCCCGGGAGGGGAGUGAAAUAGAUCCUGAAACCGCAUGCAUACAAACAGUCGGAGCCUGGAAACGGGUGACGGCGUACCUUUUGUAUAAUGGGUCAGCGACUUACAUUCAGUGGCAAGCUUAACCGAUUAGGGAAGGCGUAGCGAAAGCGAGUCCGAAUAGGGCGUUCAGUCGCUGGGUGUAGACCCGAAACCAAGUGAUCUAUCCAUGGCCAGGUUGAAGGUGCGGUAACACGUACUGGAGGACCGAACCCACUAACGUUGAAAAGUUAGGGGAUGAGCUGUGGAUAGGGGUGAAAGGCUAAACAAACUUGGAAAUAGCUGGUUCUCUCCGAAAACUAUUUAGGUAGUGCCUCGUGUCUCACCUUCGGGGGUAGAGCACUGUCAUGGUUGGGGGGUCUAUUGCUGAUUACCCCGCCAUAGCAAACUCCGAAUACCGAAGAGUGCAAUCACGGGAGACAGACAUCGGGUGCUAACGUCCGGUGUCAAGAGGGAAACAACCCAGACCGCCAGCUAAGGUCCCUAAGAUUGGCUAAGUGGGAAACGAAGUGGGAAGGCUAAAACAGUCAGGAGGUUGGCUUAGAAGCAGCCACCCUUUAAAGAAAGCGUAAUAGCUCACUGAUCGAGUCGUCCUGCGCGGAAGAUGUAACGGGGCUAAGCCAGUCACCGAAGCUGCGGAUGCACGUAAGUGCAUGGUAGGAGAGCGUUCUGUAAGCCUGUGAAGGUGUCUUGUGAAGGAUGCUGGAGGUAUCAGAAGUGCGAAUGCUGACAUGAGUAGCGAUAAAGGGGGUGAAAGGCCCCCUCGCCGUAAGCCCAAGGUUUCCUACGCAACGUUCAUCGGCGUAGGGUGAGUCGGCCCCUAAGGCGAGGCAGAGAUGCGUAGCUGAUGGGAAGCAGGUUAAUAUUCCUGCACCGUCGUAUGAUGCGAUGGGGGGACGGAUCGCGGAAGGUUGUCCGGGUGUUGGAUGUCCCGGUCCCUGCAUUGGAGAUGGCACUUAGGCAAAUCCGGGUGC